rnacentral:rRNA from 1 species
UACGAAGGGUGCUAGCGUUGUUCGGAAUCACUGGGCGUAAAGCGCGCGUAGGCGGCGAUACAAGUCAGAGGUGAAAGCCCGGAGCUUAACUCCGGAAUUGCCUUUGAAACUGCAUUGCUAGAGUGUCGGAGGGGAUAGCGGAAUUGCUAAUGUAGAGGUGAAAUUCGUAGAUAUUAGCAGGAACACCGGUGGCGAAGGCGGCUAUCUGGACGACAACUGACGCUGAGGCGCGAAAGCGCGGGGAUCAAACAGG